ACCGAAAUAGCUCAGUUGGGAGAACGUUAGACUAUAAAUCGAAAGAUCCCCGGUUCCAUUCCGGGAUUCGAAA
rnacentral:tRNA from 1 species